UCCAGACUCCUACGGGAGGCAGCAGUGGGGAAUAUUGGACAAUGGGGGGAACCCUGAUCCAGCGACGCCGCGUGAGUGAAGAAGUAUUUCGGUAUGUAAAGCUCUAUCAGCAGGGAAGAAAGAAAUGACGGUACCUGACUAAGAAGCCCCGGCUAACUACGUGCCAGCAGCCGCGGUAAUACGUAGGGGGCAAGCGUUAUCCGGAUUUACUGGGUGUAAAGGGGGCGCAGACGGCGAUGCAAGCCAGGAGUGAAAGCCCGGGGCCCAACCCCGGGACUGCUCUUGGAACUGCAUGGCUGGAGUACAGGAGAGGCAGGCGGAAUUCCUAGUGUAGCGGUGAAAUGCGUAGAUAUUAGGAGGAACACCAGUGGCGAAGGCGGCCUACUGGACGGUGACUGACGCUGAGGCUCGAAAGCGUGGGGAGCAAACAGGAUUAGAUACCCCCGUAU
rnacentral:rRNA from 1 species